rnacentral:rRNA from 1 species
GUAGGGAAUAUUGGGCAAUGGUCGGAAGACUGACCCAGUCAUGCCGCGUGCAGGAAGACGGCCCUCUGGGUUGUAAACUGCUUUUAUCUGGGAAGAAAAAGGCCAUGCGUGGCAAAUUGCCGGUACCAGAUGAAUAAGCACCGGCUAACUCCGUGCCAGCAGCCGCGGUAAUACGGAGGGUGCGAGCGUGGUCCGGAUUUAUUGGGUUUAAAGGGUGCGUAGGCGGCUGAUUAAGUCAGCGGUGAAAGACUUCGGCUUAACCGGAGCAGUGCCGUUGCUACUGGUUGGCUUGAGGGUCGUAGGGGUACAUGGAAUUGAUGGUGUAGCGGUGAAAUGCAUAGAUACCAUCAGGAACACCGAUAGCGAAGGCAUUGUACUGGCCGACAACUGACGCUGAUGCACGAAAGUGUGGGGAUCGAACAGGAUUAGAUACCCGGGUAGUCC